GUCUGGAUGGCGCAAUGGUUACCGCACCUGCUUAGUAAGCAGGAGAUCCUGGGUUCGAAUCCCGGUCCAGUACA